ensembl:lncRNA
AGGGGGGCUGCAGCAUGAAAAGGAAAUGGAAAAAAGUGUUUCAAGCAUAUGGGAGGGGAAGAGGGAAAAAAACACAUUAGGAAAAUGAAAGCAGCUGAUGACUAAAUUGCUUUGGUGAAACAUCUGCACAGCGUUACGGACACGGCGCUGUCUUCAAACCAGACACUCCGCUCCGCUUCGCCUCCCCCGGCGUGCGCGAGCCCUCCUCGCUCUCCUGCUCGGCUCUAAUGAAAGCAGCAGCUUUAUAAAUCGCAGCUGGGAGGGCUGGGGUGGGAAUUUGCCUGACUUAAUGGUCCUCCAUUUAGCCAAGGCUUUGGCGGCUCCUGCAGAGGGGAGGGGGGCGCGACCAGGCCCCCGUGAUGAGGUGGGAGAUGAGGGGACGGGAUGGGGACCGGAUGCAUUUCCAUCUCUUGGUGGCACCUCUGGCACCUCUCAGCCAUCCCUGGUCAUGAGCCAUCUGCUGGGCAUCACCAUCCAUUGUCAUCAUCAGCACCAUCGUCAUCCUCACAGCAUGGAGCCGGGAGGAAAGCUGCACAGAACCACCCAUCAAAAGAGCCUCUGAGGUUGGAAAGGUCCUCCCAGACCACUGAGUGCAACCCCAGCCCACCCCCACCACACCCACUGACGGCGGCCCCAGGAGCCACAUCUCCACGUUGGCUGGCUCUCCUCUCCCUUCCCCAUCGAUGGAUCAUUUUGGUGGCUGUCGAUCCAACGAGUUCCUCCUGAGAUUCAUCCUGAGCUGGAAUUGGGUCCAGCAGCAGGUGGCCCCUCCUCGGAUGGUCCAAGCUUUGCUCCUGAGCAAAGGGAUGCUGAGCAUCACAGGCACAGCCAACCGCACAGCCAUCCCGAUGGGAUUUUGGGGUAGGGCUGCUGCCUCGGAGCAUCCCGACCCCCCACUGAGGCAGCGGUGGCCAAGAAGCUGCAGGAUGAGCCAAGGAGCUGCUCGGAUCCACGACUCCAAAUCUGGCAGCAGCUCCAUCUGUGCAAACCUUCUCUCUUGGCUACCAGGCUGUUUUCCAUCGCGGGGUUAUUUCCCCAGCUCGGCUCAUGUUUAUAGUGGAUCAACCUGCUGCGAGGAGCCUAGCUGCCUCCACCCGAAGCCCAACUGCUGCCCCAGGACACGGAGCUGCCCCGUCUCCGUGGACACCACCUUCCCUACCAAAGGAAAUCUGCAGCCGGAGCACAACCCUACGAGCCAGCAGAGAAUCCACGCUGAGGAGAGGCACUGUGCUAUGGGCCGUUGCGCAGGGCAGGAUCUGGGGUUGGGUUAUUGGGGAUGAAACCACUCCGACAAAUUCCCCACCACCCGUUCCACUCAGAGUUGGGACACGCGGUCCAAUGAAGGCGACGCCGGAUCCGAACGCGUCCCAUCGUGGUUGGGGACGUGGUGACAUCGCAUCUCCUGGGCCCCCCCCCACCCCUCAGGACUAUUUUUAACCUCUGUGGGUUUGAAUGCUGCCUCCAGACCCUGACCCCUCCGCGUGACGCUCACCUCCCAGCCCCGGAGCACUUCCAGCCCCACACUUCCCUGCUCCUGGGGGGCGGGGGGGGACGCAAAGGGUGUGAUUUAACCCAAAAAAGCUGAGUUUUAGCUGAUGUAAUCCUCCCCACAGCCGGUGGCCCCAUCCCUUGCCACCUCUUCCAACAAACCCCAAAUAAAUUCGAGGGGGGGGGGAUUAUCCUACUAUGGCAGCCCCCAAGCAGACCCUUUUGCAACUCCACGGUAAGUCUUGGGGUGCCCAAUGGGAGAUCCCACCUCUCCCCACACAUUCCCCAUUUGCAGCAGAUCUUUGGGGCGGAAUUAGGUUUUCUGCAGUCUGUGCAAAGAGGAACCCAACGACCUCCGAGGACGCUCUUGCCUCGGGCCGGGGCUGCUUUCGGUUCGCCAUGCAUCAGCACAACGAGAUGCUUUAUUGCUGUGCCUCGCUAAGCAAUUUUUAUUUCUUUCUUCAAAAUCUUAAAUAAACCUGUUUUUUAAAAGUACCUCUGCAACAAGGGAAAUGUAUUAUUAUGGUAAUUGUCUUGUGCUAAUUAUACUUAUUACUAUAAUAACCGUUUUGUUGUCACACAAAUAAAG